rnacentral:misc_RNA from 1 species
UCCGGUUUGGCACCGGCAGUCCCUCUAGAGUCCUCGGCUUUCACCGGCUGUCCCGUGCAUGUCAAGCCCUGGUAAGGUUCUUCGCGUAGCUUCGAAUUAAACCGCACGCUCCGCUGCUUGUGCGGGCCCCCGUCAAUUCCUUUGAGUUUUAGCCUUGCGGCCGUAGUCCCCAGGCGGAGCACUUAUCGCGUUAGCUGCGCUACCGGAGGGGUCGAUACCCCCGACAGCUAGUGCUCAUCGUUUACGGCGUGGACUAC